AACCAUAGAAACCUGCGGAGUACCUGCGGAAGGAUCAUUAAACAACUAGGCCGUAACAAGCCUUGAACCCUUCUCUACGCGCACCCUUACCUUCUCCUUCGGCGGGUCAGCGCCCGCCGUCGGAACCAACAAACCCCCUUUUGCAUCUAGCAUACCACCCGUUCCGAUACAAAACACAAUCGUUACAACUUUCAACAACGGAUCU
rnacentral:misc_RNA from 1 species